rnacentral:rRNA from 1 species
GAGUUUGAUUAUGGCUCAGGAUGAACGCUGGCGGUCUGCUUAACACAUGAAGUCGAACGGGGGUUUUCGAACCCUAGUGGCGGACGGGUGAGUAACGCUGAGAAUCUGCCCUUAGGACGGGGACAACAGCUGGAAACGGCUGCUAAUCCCGAUGUGCCGAGAGGUGAAACGGUGAAAUCCGCCUGAGGAUGAGCUCCGUCUGAUUAGCUAGUUGGUGGGGUAAGGGCCUACCAAGGCGACGAUCAUAGCUGGUCUGAGAGGAUGAUCAGCCACACUGGGACUGAGACACGGCCCGACUCCUACGGGAGGCAGCAGUGGGGAAUUUUCCGCAAUGGGCGCAAGCUGACGGAGCAAGACCGCGUGCGGGAGGACGGCCUAAUGGUUGUAAACCGUUUUGAUAGGGAAGAAGUACUGACGGUACCUAUCGAAUCAGCAUCGGCUACUCCGUGCCAGCAGCCGCGGUAAUACGGAGGAUGCAAGCGUUAUCCGGAUUAUUGGGCGUAAAGGGUCCGCAGGUGGUUUCUCAAGUC